GCUGCCUCUGCCGCCCAGUCCCCGCUCAGGUGUCGCUGUUGCUGGCAGGCCCGGAUUAGGGAAAGAGAAUGGGGAGGGGGUCGCGGCUGGGAGGAGAGGGGCUGUACUCUGCCCCCCGCAAGCCCAUUUGGCAUCGGCCCCUGGACCCCGCACACUCCCCCGCGCGGCUUUGGCAGCUGUGCGUUGUCGGCUGGGUUAAGCCGCAGUGCUCACGCAGCCAGUGGUCAGGACUGGUGGCACAACACCUCCCUUCUGGCUCCUUCCAAUCAUCCGACAUCCACUUGGUGCUCCGGGUGUGUGCGGGGCCCUGAAGCCCAAGGCGGAUCUCCACUGUGGUCCCUUCGGUUGGGAGAAUAAAGGAGAGAAUGCUAGGCGCGGGAGGACAGCGUGACAAUGGCCCAACAGCUUCUUUCUGACCUGCCUGCUCCACGACAGAAUGAAGAGCCAAUCUCCCUCUGUCCGAAGGUCACCUCCGCUCACUACUGUCCCUUCUCUGACCAACCGGGCAAAGAGAUUGGAGCUUGCUUCUCUGUGAACAACAGAGAGCUGAAUAAAUUUCUCACCCUCCA